AACGAACGCUGGCGGCAGGCUUAACACAUGCAAGUCGAACGCCCCGCAAGGGGAGUGGCAGACGGGUGAGUAACGCGUGGGAAUCUACCGAGUUCUACGGAACAACACAGGGAAACUUGUGCUAAUACCGUAUACGCCCUACGGGGGAAAGAUUUAUCGGAAUUAGAUGAGCCCGCGUAAGAUCAGCUAGUUGGUGGGGUAAUGGCCUACCAAGGCGACGAUCUUUAGCUGGUCUGAGAGGAUGAUCAGCCACACUGGGACUGAGACACGGCCCAGACUCCUACGGGAGGCAGCAGUGGGGAAUAUUGGACAAUGGGCGAAAGCCUGAUCCAGCCAUGCCGCGUGAGUGAUGAAGGCCUUAGGGUUGUAAAGCUCUUUCAGUAGGGAAGAUAAUGACGGUACCUACAGAAGAAGCCCCGGCUAACUUCGUGCCAGCCGCCGCAGUAACAC
rnacentral:rRNA from 1 species